rnacentral:rRNA from 1 species
GACGAACGCUGGCGGCGUGCUUAACACAUGCAAGUCGAACGAAGAGCGAUGGAAGCUUGCUUCUAUCAAUCUUAGUGGCGAACGGGUGAGUAACGCGUAAUCAACCUGCCCUUCAGAGGGGGACAACAGUUGGAAACGACUGCUAAUACCGCAUACGCUCUAAUCUCGGCAUCGAGGAUAGAUGAAAGGUGGCCUCUACAUGUAAGCUAUCACUGAAGGAGGGGAUUGCGUCUGAUUAGCUAGUUGGAGGGGUAACGGCCCACCAAGGCGAUGAUCAGUAGCCGGUCGGAGAGGAUGAACGGCCACAUUGGGACUGAGAAACGGCCCAGACUGCUACGGGAGGCAGCAGUGGGGAAUCUUCCGCAAUGGACGAAAGUCUGACGGAGCAACGCCGCGGGAGUGAUGACGGCCUUCGGGUUGUAAAGCUCUGUUAAUCGGGACGAAAGGCCUUCUUGCGAAUAGGGAGAAGGAUUGACGGUACCGGAAUAGAAAGCCACGGCUAACUACGUG